CCCACUGCCCCACUUUGUGUCAUUCCCCUCCUGUCCACAUAGAGCCUUGUGGCAUUUGGUAUGGAGGUAGGGACCUACAGUGUGCACGGCUGGUUUUCCAUGCAAAGGAGCCACACUACAGUGAAGAUCAUCUCUGCAUUUGAAAAAUACGCAUUGAAGAGCAGUCACCCUCUGGACCUGAAUGGCCACAUGGAGACACACAGCAAGCCUGCUGCAAGUACAGCUGUCCCACCCCCUGCAAGUAAUUUGCCUUUAAAAGAAAAGAAGGAUGCCACUCAUGCCAGCUUUCCCUAAGCAACAUUGGCACUGCUUCGUGUCCUGGUGCUUGUCUCAUUAAGGACAGAAUGAAGGUGCAAUACUCUGAAUAGGAAUUGUUGUCUACAUUAUGUCAAAUCCUUCAUAGGAAGGAAAAAAUCCAACUGUGGGGUAGAAAACCCCUGCCCGUCUUCAAUCAAUCCUCACUACCACCAGGCAUCUAGUCAAUUUUUAUUCAGUCUUCUGUAGCCUCGACUUCAAUGAAGUGGCACAGCAGGGCCAGUGCCGGCAGCUGCCGGGCCCCACUGCCAGCGCACCGGUGCCGCCGAGGAGGAGAGCCAGCAGAGCCCGGGAGGGCUGUACAGGGGACACUGGAGUAUUUCAAUCCGUGCCCCAGCCCUUAAUCAUAAACUCGAGGUUCAAAGCCUUGCUGGGCUGCUGGCCGCUGAUCCCAUCUCAAGGUGAUAGUCACCUCUAGCCUUUCUGCAAACUGCAAACCUACUGUCCAUCCAUCUUAAAGCAGCUUGACACUGGCUUCUCUACCCAUUUUACAGCCAGCGAACAUUUCCUAUUGAUUUAUUGAUUUCUGUCUGCCUGUGGAAGGAGCUCAGAACAGACUCUAUGUGCUCUUGCAGCCUCCUGCAUAGAUUUUUUUCUCCCUUUUUCCCUUUUUAUCCAAGCUGUGUUAGCAGUCUGUGGUGAAGCAGGAAUUAGACCAUGCGGGAGCCCAAUUUGCUACUGGCAAAUGUGCCAGGCUUUUCUUCCUCUCCCUACCUGGAAUACACACCUCCACUCCCACUCUCUGCCUCCUGUCUCCUUUUCCUCAGGAAAGCCAGCAGAUCCCUGCCUAUCCAGCCAGUUCAUCUUAGCUAAAAACUUCUGCUGCUUCCCUUCAGAUCCUUCCCUGUCAUUAACAGGUGUUUGAAAUGCAUCUAAUCGCUGCUUCUAACUGCGAUUCCUUGAUUUACACUGGGUCAGAGGAAUUCCCUCUUUUCUCAGUCAAUCCAGAAAUGGGCACACUUCCUGACCACACACUCAUCUGCGUGAGUGCAAACCUCUGCAUGCUUUAAUAGAUAUGUUGCAUGAAUUUCAGAGUCCCAUGGGGCAUUUGAUAGCUCAUAGGUUUGAAUUGGAGAAGGGACAUAUACUGCCUUCCACCCCCUAGUUGCCAGUCCAAAUGCAGCUCAGGUCAGCAGUGAUUGAAAGUUAUUCCUGGCUGAGGCUGGUUCAGAGCCUUGCAAGAAAUUAGUGCAGUUUCCAGACAGCUCCCAGUGGUCAGAUGUCCACAUCACAAAAAAGCAAUCUGGCUUAUCGUUCUCCGCAGAGAGGCAAGCAUUGAGUGAGUGAGAGGCUGCUCUUUCUGGUGUCUGAGGUGGUGCCUCUAAGCUAUGUCUCAGCCGUGACAGUGGGAAACUUGCUGCUGGUGGCCACACUCUUCCUCAGCUGGGGGGCGAUUUCCCAUGGUCCACCUCACCCUGGCUUCAGGGCCAGCCCCAGUGUGGAGUGAUGCUGAUGCUUUGCCUUGCUGGAGUCCCUUGGAAUGUAUUUUAGAGGAUGCACAGACUCAGCCUGGCUGGCUGGACCAAAGCAAGACACUGUCCUCACCCCUCAUCUCCACUGAGCACCCUUCACAGCUGCUCCAGUUUAAUCACUAUCCCUCAGCAUUUCAUUUCUUGACUAGAAUUUACAGUAUCACAGAAAUUGCUGUAUUAUUCCCUAAUAUUACAAGCUGGAAUAGAUCAUCAUAGACAUACUUCAGAGGUAUGGCUAGAGGUGUCUGCACCGAAAGCUGUACGUGUUUUCCUUUGGAGAAGCUGGCCUUAUGCAUAGGGAACAGGUACUUUCUCCAGAAUAACUCUGUAAAACUUAGUAUGAAACCUUGAGGGCAUGACAGUUGAAAAAUAUAUGAACAAUUAAAAACUAACCCCCACACUGGUGUUGCCUGUUCUAAUCUGUUGAAAAUAAAACACCGAUGAGAUACUGGGGUCUCUGGAAUAGAGAUAUUUGAAGCCAGAAUAAGGAGAGUGUGCAAAGGGAAAGCUACAGGCAUGGUUAAAGGCUCUGUGGCCAGCAGAUACCAGGGGCUGGAGCCUGCUCUUGUUUAAGCUCAUAUACUGCCAGCAGUGUCAAUUAAAUGAUGCAGAUUUACACCAGCACAGAAUCUUGUCUGAAGUCCACUCUCUGCCUCACGCACAGGAGAAAGUGUUUACAGGGCAACUACCACUGUUCUUUAAGGAAAUUGCAUCUGCUCAUUUUUACAUUGGGUCUAUCCAUAUGUAACUACAUGCAUUUCAAUGGGUUACUUCUGAUUUACACUGCAGGCAUUGUGCAUUUCCCUAGACCAACAUUAACUAUUUAUUGAUCUUCCCAGUACCCCUGUGAGGAAGGCAAUUAUUCCCAUCAUAUAGACAAACAAGGAUUACAUUUUGGAGACUGUCUGGAUCUGGUGCACACAUUUGGACCUCUUUUGCCAUCAAUUACACUUCUUACAGCUCUUAUUUUCCCCCAUUUUACCCCCCGUCACCAUAUGUGUGCAGGAGAAUGGAGAGGAAAAACAGCACAAACAAUAAUCCAGGUCUAAAUGCAAGGUAAGUCUCUCAGGCUUAUUUCACCUGAUUUCUCUUUUUUAUAAACACAAAAAUCUCUCAG